UAGGGAAUCUUCGGCAAUGGACGGAAGUCUGACCGAGCAACGCCGCGUGAGUGAAGAAGGUUUUCGGAUCGUAAAGCUCUGUUGUAAGAGAAGAACGAGUGUGAGAGUGGAAAGUUCACACUGUGACGGCAUCUUACCAGAAAGGGACGGCUAACUACGUGCCAGCAGCCGCGGUAAUACGUAGGUCCCGAGCGUUGUCCGGAUUUAUUGGGCGUAAAGCGAGCGCAGGCGGUUAGAUAAGUCUGAAGUUAAAGGCUGUGGCUUAACCAUAGUAGGCUUUGGAAACUGUUUAACUUGAGUGCAAGAGGGGAGAGUGGAAUUCCAUGUGUAGCGGUGAAAUGCGUAGAUAUAUGGAGGAACACCGGUGGCGAAAGCGGCUCUCUGGCUUGUAACUGACGCUGAGGCUCGAAAGCGUGGGGAGCAAACAGGAUUAGAUACCCUGGUAGUCCACGCUGUAAACGAUGAGUGCUAGGUGUUAGACCCUUUCCGGGGUUUAGUGCCGUAGCUAACGCAUUAAGCACUCCGCCUGGGGAGUACGACCGCAAGGUU
rnacentral:rRNA from 1 species